ensembl:lncRNA
AUGGCCUCAGGAACGGCAUCGGACAAGGACACCGCCUCGGGAACGGCAUCGGGCACCGCCUUGACCUGCGGAACGGCAUCGUGCACCGCCUUGACCUGUGGAACGGCAUCGGGCACCGCCUCGACCUGCGGAACGGCAUCGGGCACAGCCUCGGCAUCGGGCACCGCCUCGACCUCCGGAACAGCAUUGAGCACCGCCUCGGCCUCCGGAACCAUCUCGGGCACCGCCUCGGCCUCCGGAACCAUCUCGGGCACCGCCUCGGUCUCGGGAACGGCAUCGGGCACCGCCUCGACCUCCAGACCAACAUCGGGCACCGCCUCGACCUCCAGAACCACAUCGGGCACCGCUUCGGCAUCAGGCACCGCUUCGGGAACCUUGGACACGUCCUCCUGGACGGCAGCGGCCUGCUCGGUAACGUCCUCCUGGACGGCAGCGGCCUGCUCGGGAACGUCCUCCUGGACGGCAGCGGCCUGCUCGGGAACAUCCUCCGGGCUUUGAGGAACGGCUGACGCCUGUCUCCUCCUCCUGAGGCCUCUAUGAUGGCGUGCCGGUGGCUCCUUGACGGAAGACUCAGGCGUUGAGUCAACCAUCUUGUCUGCCAACACAGGUGUAGAUUCGACCAUCCUGUGCAGUGGUGCUGGGCUGGCGGUCAUCUCGUGCUGUGGUGCUGGGCUGGCGGCCAUCUUGCUCUGGCGCUGGGCUGGCGGCCAUGUUGUGCUCUGGCGCUGGGCUGGCGGCCAUCUUGUCUGGAGAUUCAAGUGUGGUUGAUGUAUCCCACUGAGCACGAUGGCACAGGUAACGGGUAAACCCCCAAAAGUCUAGGAUCUCCAGCCCCUUCAUCUCCCAUUGAGGCAAAGGGUCAUCCAGACAAUUGUUAAAAAAGUCCUUCAGUGCUGCAUCAUUAUAACCCAACCCGACCGCCAUGGUCCAAAACAAUUGCGCCAGGCCACCCACCUCACUCCCCCUUUGACGAAGGGUGGUUAAGUUCCGGAGUCUCCCCCUCCGUUCCUCCAUGGUGGCUGGGGAACGGAUUCGAAAUCCCACACCGCUGGAUCUAGGCCUGACGGCAUCCUUCCUGCCUCGUGGCACUGGCUCUGCGGCCAUCGUGGGCAGUGGCGCCACCAUGGCGGACUUGCGCUUCCUCUCCCCUCUCCGUCCGCCAUGGUGAGACAGUGGCACUGAUCCAUUCCCCACGAGCCCAGGGUCGAAGGGGAGCCACGGUUGAGAGCGAUGUUGCACCUCCUCUCGACCAUUCCCUCCUUGGCGACCUCCCCUGGUUCCCCGGAAGACCACCAGGCGAGUUCCCUCAAACCUGCUCCUCUCCCGCUCUGUGGCUGGGGGAGAAUCCUCGAAAAACAUAUCGCUGGAUCUAGGUUGUGACGGAGUCCUUCUGUCACGACACGCACACCAACAGGUAGAUCCAAUUGCAGUAUGUUUUAUUAGGAUAAUCCAAAUCUCAUUCUCAGCCAGGCAAAGGUCACAAUCCAAGUAAGCAGUCCAGAAACAAGAAACAUAAACAACAUCCGAGAACCACGACAAACCAGGGUGACAUUCAACAAGGACUCCGUAACAAUGACAGAACAACCAGGGUAUUUAUACACAGGUGCAAACAAUGUAAGUGGUGACAGCUGAAUACAAUGAACAGUGAUGAGCAGAUAAGGCUAGUGGGAAAUGUAGUUCUGAAGGGGGUGACAAUAAGGGGAAGUGAGACCUCUAGUGGCCACCCAGGGAGACACAGAACAGACACCGUGACAUACAGAUGGUAGACAACCAAAAUGAGUAAUACCGCCGCGCGUACCGCCGCCGCAGGGCCGCGGCGUUAACUUCAAGUCAGUCAAGUGUUAAAAUCCUUCGCGAAACUACCGCCAGGUGGCGCAAAGGGACGGAUUGCGAACUGAAUGUAAUUGUAAAAUGAGAUAAAAGGAGGAGGUAAAACCACAAUAACAUUAUGAUAUAACAUUGUACCAUCUUUAAAAAACCAUUAAAAAAUGUACAGUGAGUUAAUUUCAAAAUGUAUGAUAGUCUUAGGCUACAGUCUACUCAUCAAAAAUUAAAAGAAGACCUUUACACAAAGGAUCUUAUGCUUGCUAUUGUUAUUAAACAGUCAUUAAAUAUAAGGCCUAUAUAUACGGAUAAAAGUAAAUGUUUUCAUUUCGGUUCAUUCUUGGUUUAAAAAAAAAAAUCCUUCAGGUUCCAUUUGCAGAUAGAAAUGAGAACGGUCCAGCAUUUAGCAAUAAUUAUGAUUCAUUCUGUUAUUAUUCUUGAUUUUUCAAACUGCUAACACUUUGCAUUUUUGAAUUAUGCCUUUACUGUGUGACCAAAAAAUUUGUAUUUUCUGUUUCAGCUGUUUGAUCGUGCUGGUGCCUCGCGCACAUUCAUUGGAAACAGUAGCCGUUCACCGUGCCAUUCGCCGCGAGCAGCGGUCCACUUUGGCAUAUUUUUGUUAAUUAUGAUUUUUAAUUUUUUCCCCGUCGAUACUGAAACACGCGUGAACUACAAAGCCUAUUUUUCCUAAUGAAGAAUAGUUAAGCUUGAAAUAGGCAACAUCACGAAUAUGGAAACGUUUGGAUUUCUCCCGAAUGAGAGCCCAACCUUACCUUAUGGUUCGCUUUAUAUUAUUAUUCAUUAUUUUUAUUUUUUUUUGUUUGUUUAUAGCUAAGCCUAUAUUAUUAUAUACUGCAAUUUUAUUUAUCCAUUAGAAUUAUAUAUUUGUAAUUAUUGUUCUGUUCUGAUAAAUUUGUUAAAUUUAAAGGAUUUGUUGUUAAGUGAAGAGAACUAAAAAUAUCCUGUUGGCACAUUAUAACAUUAUUAGGCCAGCCGUUAUUAUUUCUGAAUGUAAUAAAAAUGCAACUUAUACAUGAUUUAUAUAUUCUUAUAUAUAUACUUAUAUAUUUUUUCCUCUCACAAACUUAAUUUAUUUUUUAGCCUGUUUUAAAAAAUAAAUAAAUAAAUAAAUAAAUAAAAUAACAUACAGCAAACGAAAAUAGGUGAUUAAUCGGUUAAAAUUUGUUACUGUGGGGUAAUUAUAAUUAUUAUAUACUUAGGAACAGAGUCUGGGCCUAAUCAAGGCUAUCCAGGGUUUUUUAUUUUUUUUUUAAUUUUCAUUGCAUCUGAAAAUGACUUUGUGCAGCACAUUCACGCUCAACCUGCCUCGCGCGUUGCUCAGCGGACGAUUUAAAAAUGUUUGAUAUAAAGGUUGCUGUCCCAUUUUAUACAGGAAUUGUUCAUUUAAAAAAAAAAAAU